GUGGCCGAGUGGCUGAAGGCGCUCCCUUGGCUCAAGGGAGUAUACGGCUUAUACCCGUAUCGAGGGUUCGAACCGAGCCGCAG
rnacentral:tRNA from 1 species